rnacentral:tRNA from 1 species
GGGUAUAUAGCUCAGUGGCAGAGUGCUUGCUUAGCAUGUAAGAGGGUGUGGGUUCAAUCCCCAGUGCCUCCA